GAGACAAGUUGGCCAAAUGCUGACCGGUGAAGCUGAGUGAUGGGUGCAAUCAUUACGUGAUUUUGUUUCCUCUUUAUGUUUACAUCUUCCCAUAGGAAAAAGUUAAUUCAAACAACGUGGUCUGAAGAGUCAGACUGGCCUGUCGGCUCCAGUUUAUGUCAUGUGAACUUCCAUCUCUCCGAACCCCUUUGCUCACAUUUUAAAUGAAUCCACAAUAAUAGUACCCGAUUCAGAGGGCUCUCAUGAUGGCCAUAUGUGAAAGUGGUCAUCCACGCAUGCCACAUGGCAAAUGCACGGAAGAGGAGACCGGUCAGCACUGCGGGGCGGACAGCACCCUGGCCACGCCCUCGCCUGGCUGGCCACUGCCCACACUUCCUGGGUCUUCCUGCGCAAUGAUGGAUCUGAGCCCCAGCCACCACCCUCCUUUAGGUGACCAUUCUUCAAGGGCUUGGAACCUGACCUAAAGGACCAGGGCUUGGCAUAUGGUGCCUCAGCAGGCAAGCAUGAGGUAGGCAGGACCCCUCUCACCACCAG
rnacentral:lncRNA from 1 species